CCUACGGGAGGCAGCAGUGGGGAAUAUUGGACAAUGGGCGAAAGCCUGAUCCAGCAAUGCCGCGUGAGUGAUGAAGGCCUUAGGGUCGUAAAGCUCUUUUACCAGGGAUGAUAAUGACAGUACCUGGAGAAUAAGCUCCGGCUAACUCCGUGCCAGCAGCCGCGGUAAUACGGAGGGAGCUAGCGUUGUUCGGAAUUACUGGGCGUAAAGCGUGCGUAGGCGGUUAUUCAAGUCAGAGGUGAAAGCCCGGGGCUCAACCCCGGAACGGCCUUUGAAACUAGAUAACUAGAAUCUUGGAGAGGUCAGUGGAAUUCCGAGUGUAGAGGUGAAAUUCGUAGAUAUUCGGAAGAACACCAGUGGCGAAGGCGACUGACUGGACAAGUAUUGACGCUGAGGUACGAAAGCGUGGGGAGCAAACAGGAUUAGAUACCCUGGUAGUCCACGCCGUAAACGAUGAUAACUAGCUGUCCGGACACUUGGUGUUCGGGUGGCGCAGCUAACGCAUUAAGUUAUCCGCCUGGGGAGUACGGUCGCAAGAUUAAAACUCAAAUGAAUUGACGG
rnacentral:rRNA from 1 species